AGCGAACGCUGGCGGCAGGCUUAACACAUGCAAGUCGAACGCUUGUAGCAAUACAGGAGUGGCAGACGGGAGAGUAACACGUGGGAACGUCCCCUUUGGUUCGGAACAACCCAGGGAAACUUGGGCUAAUACCGGAUUCGUCCGCAAGGCGAAAGAUUUAUCGCCGAGGGAUCGGCCCGCGUAUGAUUAGCUAGUUGGUGAGGUAACGACCCACCAAGGCGACGCUCAGUAGCUGGGCUGAGAGGAUGGACAGCCUCACUGGGACUGAGACGCGGCCCAGACGGCUACGGGAGGCAGCAGUGGGGAAUCUUGGACAAAGGGCGCAAGACUGGUCCAGCCAGGCCGCGUGGGUUAUGAAGGCCCUAGGGUUGUAAGGCCCUUUCGGCGGGGAAGAUAAUGACGUUACCCGCAGAAGAAGCCCCGGCUAACUUCGUGCCAGCCGCCGCAGUAAAAC
rnacentral:rRNA from 1 species